UACGUAGGUGGCAAGCGUUGUCCGGAUUUACUGGGCGUAAAGAGCGCGCAGGCGGUCGAUUAAGUCGAGUGUGAAAGCCCCCGGCUCAACUGGGGAGGGUCACUUGAUACUGGUCGACUCGAAGGCAGGAGAGGGAAGUGGAAUUCCUGGUGUAGCGGUGAAAUGCGCAGAUAUCAGGAAGAACACCCGUGGCGAAAGCGGCUCUCUAGAACGGUACUGACGCUGAGACGCGAAAGCGUGGGGAGCGAACAGG
rnacentral:rRNA from 1 species